GAUGAACGCUGGCGGCGUGCCUAAUACAUGCAAGUCGAGCGAACAGACGAGGAGCUUGCUCCUCUGACGUUAGCGGCGGACGGGUGAGUAACACGUGGAUAACCUACCUAUAAGACUGGGAUAACUUCGGGAAACCGGAGCUAAUACCGGAUAAUAUAUUGAACCGCAUGGUUCAAUAGUGAAAGACGGUUUUGCUGUCACUUAUAGAUGGAUCCGCGCCGCAUUAGCUAGUUGGUAAGGUAACGGCUUACCAAGGCGACGAUGCGUAGCCGACCUGAGAGGGUGAACGGGCCAACAUGAAACUGGGCACGGGCCCAAGCCCCAAGGGGCGGCACGUGAUGGAAAUCUUCCGCAAGGGCCGAAGGCCGGCGGGGGCAACGCGGGGUAGUUAUAGAAGGGUUGCGGAUCAUAAAAUCCUUUUAUUAGGAAAAAACAAAUGUGUAAGUAAUAAUGCACGUUUUGCCGGCACCAAAGCAAAAAGCCGCGGUAAAUUCGGC
rnacentral:rRNA from 1 species